GACGAACCGUGCGAACGUUAUUCGGAAUCACUGGGCUUAAAGCGCGUGUAGGCGGGUCGGCGCGUCGGUCGCUGAAAUCCCCCGGCUCAACCGGGGAAGCGGCGCCGAUACGGCCGGCCUGGAGGGACGUAGGGGGGGCUGGAACUUCCGGUGGAGCGGUGAAAUGCGUUGAGAUCGGAAGGAACGCCCGUGGCGAAAGCGAGCCCCUGGACGUCUACUGACGCUGAGACGCGGAAGCCAGGGGAGCGAACGGG
rnacentral:rRNA from 1 species